CUGAUGAGUGUGUCACGCUCUUCAUCCCCCAAGAGCUGCAAUGAAGACCAAGACAAACAGUAGAUUAACAGUGCUACCUUUUAUAAGGCUGAUUAGUUCCUAAAAUAUGCUGAAAGGAAACAAAACCAAAAAGAAAAGAGUGGAAAGGGGGGUGAGACAGAAACCUUUGUCGAGUCUCAUUCCAUCACCCAGGCUGGAGUGCAGCGGCGUGAUCUUGGCAACCUCCACCUCCCAGGCUCAAGAAAUCCUCCCACCUCAGCCUCCCAAAUAGCUGGAUCUACAGGCGUACACCACCACAAUCAGCUGUAUUUUUUGUAGAGGCUGGGUUUCGCCAUGUUGCCCAGGGUGGUCAAGAACUUGUGAGCUCAAGUGAUCUGCCCGCCUUAGCCUCCCAAAGUGCUGGGAUUACAGGCAUGAGCC
rnacentral:lncRNA from 1 species